rnacentral:lncRNA from 1 species
AUGUACGUCGCCACUUGCGAGAUUAACUAUCCUCUAUCAGAGAUUGGGACGAUGGCGUCGAUGUUGUGGAGAUAUCAAAAAGCAAUAGCAGGCUUCAACUCUACGUUGCGGCUUGGAAAUGUUGGAAAACGAAGGGAUGUUGGUUUAAACCAUAUUGCCCUCUUUGAAGGGAAAGUAGCGGGUGGUAAUGGAGAGCAAGUGGGUGUACAGUGUGAUUAUAGGCACAAUGGGAUUGUGAGGCUUAACCCGAGGGAUUGCUGGUACUGGUUAUCGGUGAAUUGUCUUAAUCCGACUUGUGCUUUUCGACAUCCUGUUAAUGUUUACCGAUGA